GCACGCCUCACAAUGGCGCCUGUCGGCCCCGCCGCUAAGUGCGUCAGCCCGACCGGCCGGACUACAACUCCCAGAAGCCCCCGCGGCGCGCCCCGCGGCCUCGCCACGCCGGUAAUAUUGUUCAGCCCGCUCCGUGAGGCAGGAGAAGCUGGGAGCUGGGGGAGAAAAGAGGCUCCGGGAAGUGGACCCCAACGGUGCAACUGAGCAGGGGGUGGGGGGAAGGGGAGGUCUCUGGUGAGAGAAGCUAGGCCUCAGGUCCCCAGCACUUCCGUGCAUGGCAACCCAGGUUGACAGAAAGUCGUGCCCCACCAUGUGGGCGACCCCGCGUGGGGCCGAUUAGAAGCAGAAGAAAGAGAAGGCGCGGGAAGGGGAGUCAAGCCGGAAGUUAUGCUGGGGGCGAGGCUGCGUGGGCGGGGCUCAUUUUGACGUUGCUCUGGGGUGGAGGAAGGCCAGGCAGGUCUGGAAGUUCAGGGGCUGCACUAGAGGCCACCAUGCCCCUUGAGUGGGAGAGCCUGGGCAGAACGAAUAACCAACUACAUUUUGGAGGGAGGAAGUUUUUUUGCCGGGUCGGAGCUUGAACCCGCCACCUCCAGUACGUGGGCCGGUGCACCACUCCUUUGAGGCACAGGCACCGCCCUAUUCAGGGACUGUCCUCUUCUGUGUGAAUUUUGUCAUGUUCUAGUGAAAUUCUUCCAGAGAUUUGCAUUAGGAAGGGACUGCUUUUACAGGUUAGUUUUGCAACAGUGCAAGUUGUCAUGAUUUCAGUAUUGGGCCCCUCUCAUCUGUCUAUUUGGUCUAGCUUUCUACUUACUUAAGUGUCCUUUGAGAUCUUUAGUAAACUUUUUCAAACUCUUUUUUUUUUUUUUUUUUGUAAGAGAUGGGGUCUAAUUCUUGCUCAGGAUGAUCUAGACCUCCUGAGCUCAAGCAAUCCACUUGCUUCAGCCUCCCAGAGUGCUAGGAUUACAGUCCUGAACCACAAUGCCCAGCCAACUUUUAAAAAUU